rnacentral:rRNA from 1 species
CUUUUAACAAUGGAUCUCUAGGCUCUCACAUCGAUGAAGAACACAGUGAAAUGUGAUAAGUAAUGUGAAUUGCAGAAUUCAGUGAAUCAUUGAAUCUUUGAACGCACCUUGCACCUUUUGGUAUUCCAAGAGGUACACCUGUUUGAGUGUCAU